rnacentral:SRP_RNA from 1 species
UGAUGGGCUAGACUGGGUGUUUAGGCCGCACCUGUAAGCGUAAAUGGUCUAUAGCGCGGUUGAAGCUUCGAGGGCGGUGAGUGUAUCGAGAGUUGUCCUCUUAGUUAGUGUCGAAGCAUCGUCUUUAGGGGUUUCUUAGUUGAGAGAACCGGGUCAGGCGGGGAACCGAGCAGCCCUGACUUGAUUAAGAAAUGCUCUAGAGUUUCCCGGUGUGGAGCUGGUUAGGAGGGUUAACAGCUCCUGGUAUUUUUCAUUCACCUCGGAGCGUGCCCAUUU